rnacentral:tRNA from 1 species
GCAUUGAUGAUUCAGUACUAGAAUUCUCGACUCCUAUGUCGGAGAUCCGGGUUCAAUUCCUGGCCAAGGCA